AGAGUUUGAUCCUGGCUCAGGAUGAACGUUGGCGGCGUGCCUAACACAUGCAAGUCGAACGGUGAUAGCAAUAUCAUGGUGGCGUACGGGUGAGUAACACGUACCUUAUCUGCCCUGGAGAGUGGGAUAACGUUCCGAAAGGAAUGCUAAUACCGCAUAAGCUCACGGAAAGUAGAGGACUGUGAGAAAAGGAGAAAUCCGCUCUGGGAUGAGGCUGCGGCCCAUCAGCUAGUUGGGGAGGUAACGGCUCACCAAGGCAACGACGGGUAGAGGGUCUGAGAGGAUGAUCCUCCACACUGGGACUGAGACACGGCCCAGACUCCUACGGGAGGCAGCAGUGAGGGAUAUUGCACAAUGGGCGAAAGCCUGAUGCAGCGACGCCGCGUGGGAGAAGAAGGCCUUCGGGUUGUAAAUCCCUUUUCUGCGUGACGAGGAAGGACGGUAGCGCAGGAAUAAGUCUCGGCUACUACGUGCCAGCAGCCGCGGUAAAACGUAGGAGACAAACGUUAUCCGGAGUUACUGGGCGUAAAGGGCGUGCAGGUGGUACUUUAAGUCUGGCGUGAAAGCCUCCGGCUCAACCGGGGAAAGUCGUCGGAGACUGGAAUACUAGAGGGCAGUAGAGGCGUGUGGAAUUCCGGGUGUAGUGGUGAAAUGCGUAGAGAUCCGGAGGAACACCAGUGGCGAAGGCGACACGCUGGGCUGCACCUGACACUGAGACGCGACAGCAUGGGGAGCGAACGGGAUUAGAAACCCCGGUAGUCCAUGCCGUAAACGAUGCCAGCUCGACGUUCACACCGCACCGCGGUGGGGGUGUCAAAGCAAACGCGAUAAGCUGGCCGCCUGGGGAGUACGGUCGCAAGAUUAAAACUCAAAGGAAUUGACGGGGGCCCGCACAAGCAGCGGAGCGUGUGGUUUAAUUCGAGCCUACACGAAGAACCUUACCUGGGUUUGACAUGCAAGUGGUAGUGAACCGAAAGGGGAACGACCUUCGGGAGCUUGCACAGGUGCUGCAUGGCUGUCGUCGGCUCGUGCCGUGAGGUGUUCGGUUAAGUCCGCAAACGAGCGCAACCCCCGGGGUUAGUUACACGUGUCUAACCCGACUGCCUGUGAGAAACAGGAGGAAGGUGGGGAUGACGUCAAGUCAGCAUGGCCUUUAUAUCCAGGGCUACACACACGCUACAAUGGGCGGUACAACAGGUUGCGAAGCCGCGAGGUGGAGCCAAUCCCAAAAGCCGUUCGUAGUUCGGAUUGCAGGCUGCAACUCGCCAGCAUGAAGUUGGAGUUGCUAGUAACCGCGCGUCAGCUAUAGUGCGGUGAAUACGUUCCCGGGCCUUGUACACACCGCCCGUCACGUCAUGGGAGCUGGUCACGCCUGAAGUCGGGAGGGUAACCGCAAGGAGCCUACCGCCGAGGGCAGGGCCGGUGACUGGGACGAAGUCGUAACAAGGUA
rnacentral:rRNA from 1 species